rnacentral:rRNA from 1 species
GACGAACGCUGGCGGCGUGCCUAAUACAUGCAAGUCGAACGCUUCUUUCCUCCCGAGUGCUUGCACUCAAUUGGAAAGAGGAGUGGCGGACGGGUGAGUAACACGUGGGUAACCUACCCAUCAGAGGGGGAUAACACUUGGAAACAGGUGCUAAUACCGCAUAACAGUUUAUGCCGCAUGGCAUAAGAGUGAAAGGCGCUUUCGGGUGUCGCUGAUGGAUGGACCCGCGGUGCAUUAGCUAGUUGGUGAGGUAACGGCUCACCAAGGCCACGAUGCAUAGCCGACCUGAGAGGGUGAUCGGCCACACUGGGACUGAGACACGGCCCAGACUCCUACGGGAGGCAGCAGUAGGGAAUCUUCGGCAAUGGACGAAAGUCUGACCGAGAACGCCGCGUGAGUGAAGAAGGUUUUCGGAUCGUAAAACUCUGUUGUUAGAGAAGAACAAGGACGUUAGUAACUGAACGUCCCCUGACGGUAUCUAACCAGAAAGCCACGGCUAACUACGUG